rnacentral:rRNA from 1 species
AAUAUUGCGCAAUGGAGGAAACUCUGACGCAGCGACGCCGCGUGAGCGAUGAAGGUCUUCGGAUCGUAAAGCUCUGUCCUCAGGGAAGAAGAAAGUGACGGUACCUGAGGAGGAAGCACCGGCUAACUACGCGCCAGCAGCCGCGGUAAUACGUAGGGGGCAAGCGUUGCCCGGAAUUAUUGGGCGUAAAGGGUGCGUAGGCGGCCUUUUAAGUCAGAUGUGAAAGACCACGGCUUAACCGUGGGGUUGCAUUUGAAACUGGAGGGCUUGAGUAUCGGAGAGGGUAGUGGAAUUCCCAGUGUGGCGGUGGAAUGCGUAGAUAUUGGGAGGAACACCAGUGGCGAAGGCGACUACCUGGACGAAAACUGACGCUGAGGCACGAAAGCUAGGGGAGCAAACA